AGCGAACGCUGGCGGCGUGCUUAACACAUGCAAGUCGAACGAAGGCUUCGGCCUUAGUGGCGGACGGGUGAGUAACGCGUGGGAAUCUACCUUACGGCGGGGAAUAACAGUUGGAAACGACUGCUAAUACCGCAUACGCCCUUCGGGGGAAAGGCUUCGGCCACCGUUUGAGGAUCCCGCGUCCGAUUAGCUAGUUGGUAGGGUAACGGCCUACCAAGGCGACGAUCGGUAGCUGGUCUGAGAGGAUGAUCAGCCACACUGGGACUGAGACACGGCCCAGACUCC
rnacentral:rRNA from 2 species